GUGCCAGCAGCCGCGGUAAUACGUAGGUGGCAAGCGUUAUCCGGAAUUAUUGGGCGUAAAGCGCGCGUAGGCGGUUUUUUAAGUCUGAUGUGAAAGCCCACGGCUCAACCGUGGAGGGUCAUUGGAAACUGGAAAACUUGAGUGCAGAAGAGGAAAGUGGAAUUCCAUGUGUAGCGGUGAAAUGCGCAGAGAUAUGGAGGAACACCAGUGGCGAAGGCGACUUUCUGGUCUGUAUACUGACGCUGAUGUGCGAAAGCGUGGGGAUCAAACAGGAUUAGAUACCCUG
rnacentral:rRNA from 1 species